AGCAGCCGCGGUAAUUCCAGCUCCAAUAGCGUAUAUUAAAGUUGUUGCAGUUAAAAAGCUCGUAGUUGAACUUCGGGGUCUACCCAUUGGUCAGGCUUAAUUGUCUGCACUGGUGAGAUGGAUCUCUACCUUCUGAGGAACUUUCAUGCCAUUUAUUUGGUGUGGUUGGAAAUCAGGACUGUUACUUUGAAAAAAUUAGAGUGUUUAAAGCAGACUAUCGUCUGAAUACAUUAGCAUGGAAUAAUGAAAUAGGACGGACUGAUUCUAUUUCGUUGGUUUCUAGGAUCACCGUAAUGAUUAAUAGGGAUAGUUGGGGGCAUUAGUAUUCAAUUGUCAGAGGUGAAAUUCUUGGAUUUAUUGAAGACUAACUACUGCGAAAGCAUUUGCCAAGGAUGUUUUCAUUAAUCAAGAACGAAAGUUAGGGGAUCGAAGACGAUCAGAUACCGUCGUAGUCUUAACCAUAAACUAUGCCGACUAGGGAUCGGACGAAGUUAAUUUUAUAAUGACGCGUUCGG
rnacentral:rRNA from 1 species